rnacentral:tRNA from 2 species
GCGAGGAUGGCGAAAUUGGUAGACGCACCAGGUUUAGGUCCUGACGCCCGCAAGGGUGUGCGGGUUCGAAUCCCGCUCCUCGCA